rnacentral:rRNA from 1 species
UGAACGCUGGCGGCGUGGCCUAACACAUGCAAGUCGAACGGGACUAUCAAGUGAUGUUUCGGACUGAACUUUUAGUUAGUGGCGGACGGGUGAGUAACGCGUGGACAACCUGCCUCGUCACUGGGGGAUAGCAGCUGGAAACGGCUGGUAAUACCGCAUACGUUCAAUGUGCCGCAUGACACAUUGAAGAAAGAUUUAUCGGUGAGAGAUGGGUCCGCGUCUGAUUAGCCAGUUGGCGGGGUAACGGCCCACCAAAGCGACGAUCAGUAGCCGGCCUGAGAGGGCGGACGGCCACAUUGGGACUGAGACACGGCCCAGACUCCUACGGGAGGCAGCAGUGGGGGAUAUUGCACAAUGGGCGCAAGCCUGAUGCAGCGACGCCGCGUGAGUGAAGAAGUAUUUCGGUAUGUAAAGCUCUAUCAGCAGGGAAGAAAGGCCCGCGAAGGGAGAUGACGGUACCUGACUAAGAACGCCCCGGCUAACUACGUGCCAGCCGCUGC